rnacentral:rRNA from 1 species
AUGGCCAAAUAUUGGUGGGGCUGUUCCCUCGACAAAAGAUCCUUGCACUGUAUGUCAUGGGACAAACUGACUGUGCCAAAGGCCAAGGGAGGUAUGGGUUUUCGGUACCCUGAAGUGUUCAAUCUCGCGAUGUUGGGCAAGCAGGGCUGGCGACUGCUUACAAACCCGGACUCCCUGUGUGCCCGGGUGUUGAAAGGAAGACAUUCACCACAGACUGACUUCCUUCAUGCUACGGCGCCGAGCCGGGCGUCUGCUACGUGGAAGGCGAUCGUGGCUGGACGGAGGGUGCUGGAAGAGGGCUUGAUACAUAGGGUUGGCGACGGCACCACAAUCUCAAUAUGGACAGACCCUUGGAUACCAACCACAAUAUCACUGAAACCUAGUGGCCGCAUAGGAGAUGCUGCACUCACAAAACUUUCAGAGUUGAUCGAUGUUUAUACAGGAAGGUGGAAUGUGGAUUUAAUCCGUCAAAACUUCACUCCCCCCGACGUGAUAGCAAUAAUGAAUAUCCCAUUGAGGGUGUCGGGCGGAGAAGAUACUUUGGCAUGGGCUUUGGAAAGGUCAGGACACUAUCUGUCAAAUCGGCGUACCGAUCUCUCAUGA